CAAAAAGGUCGUCACUCGAGAAAUGAAGACCCAACGACCGAAAAGAGGCAAUAGGAUCGACGGCCUUUGACUUCGUCAUUUUUUCACAGGUAUUUCAGUGUGGAUUCAGGUCAUCUCGGCUUUUUCGAAAUAACUUUUUCAUUUGGGACAUUUUAGAGAAAGGACAGCAGUAUCUUUCAUCUGUAGGGGAGGACUUAGACCCUUCUGAUAACUU